GAAGUCAAUUAUUACUUAAUAUACACAUGCAAGUAUCCGCUCCCCUGUGAAAACGCCCUUCAACCCCCAUUAGGGACAAGGAGCCGGUAUCAGGCACAAUGUAUGCCCAAGACACCUAGCUUUGCCACACCCACAAGGGAUUUCAGCAGUGAUUAACAUUGAAUAUUAGCGCAAGCUUGAUUCAGUUAAAGUAAAACAGAGCCGGCCAAUCUGGUGCCAGCCGCCGCGGUUACACCAUGUGGCUCAAAUUGACCCCAUUCCGGCGUAAAGCGUGAUUAAAGUUAUCUUCUUAUAGAGUUAAAUUAAAACUAAGCUGUGACACGCUUGUCCUUAAGAAAUUCCCAAACGAAAGUUACUCUAAUUUAACCAACUUGA
rnacentral:rRNA from 1 species